AAAAGGCCCCAGAAACUCUCAGUGACAGUGACUGUGCUGGUGUAGACAGCUGUGAGGAUUAAAACUGAAGCAGGUCUGUUUCAUUAGAUGCAUGUGAGACAACUGACAAACAAGGCUCAAACAUCUCUUGUGUAAAGAGACAUGGUCUACAAAGUCAUGACGUCCCUGCAGCUGAUGCACUGGCAACUUGUUAGUCCUGUUUUCACUGCCCUAAACAAACAGGUGGGGUCAAGUCAACUCUCUGGCUCCAUCAGACCAUGACCUUCAGUUUGUAGCCAAGUGAGAAGCAGCUGGGAUGAGGGUCAGCACCUCCAAGUCUGAGGCAAUGGAUUGCUCCCUCUUGGUGCCAGGGAAAGUUGCUGCCCUGAGUAAAGGAUCUUGGAGUCUUGUUGAUGAGUGAGGAUAGGAUGGAGUGAGAGAUUGACAGACAGAUAGGUGCGACGUCAGCAGUAAUGCAGUUACUGGCAACUGAAAUGAGUUAUCUCCAGAGCCUUAGAGACAGUAUGAGGAGCAGGAGCAUCUGGAGGGAGACUGGAUUAAAGCCACUGCUUCUUAGAAUCCCUCAGGAGGAGGUGAAAAAUGUUGCUAGGGAGAGGAACGUCUACCCGUCUUCCUGUAACCCCAGUUAAUACUGAUGAGAGGAAAAAUAUAGCACCUUUCUGGGAGUUAACGUACAUAGAGCUGAAAUGAAAGUCGAGGCUCAGGAGUUGCUUCCUUCAGCUGAGAUAGCAGAAGCCUUGUCAGUACAGAUUACUGAUGUCUGCAUCUAAGUUGAGAGGGAUGGGAAGAGUUUUGAGCUGUUCAUGUAAAAUGUGAUAUACAUGAUGAGGACCUGUGGUUUUUGAACAAACCCACUUGGUCUGGACUGUUUAAGCCUCAUAUUAGCUUCAGAUAAACUUUAAAAUAUAUUGGUUUCGUGGUUCAUCUUCUCCCACUUAACAUUGUUGGGUAGAGAUCUCAUGACCAUAAAGUUCAGCAUGAACAAGAGGAAUAAUUUUAAUUAAAUAAAAACUGUCUUGAGGAUUCUAUUGUCACCUUAUGAUUGUUUAGGACAAAUAUGAAAAAUUUGAACUUGUGCUUUAAACAAUCAAACAAGAUUUAUUCCAACCAAACCAACACCACAGCAUCUCAUCUACAACACAAAGGUUCAAUAUUUUACAACACCAAACACACAUCCCACUGUGAAGCAUGGUGGUGGUAGCAUCAUACUGUGGGGACACUUCCUGCUAGCAGGCCCUGAAAGGCUUGUCAAGGUAGAGGGUAAAAGAAAUACAAAGCAAAAUAUGCAGCUACCUGUUUUCCACAACUCAUUUAAAAAUGGUAGAUUAAAUUUAGUUUUUUAAAGAAUGAAAUCUGACCUGAAUGCACAACUAACUAACACAAACAAAACAAAACACAAAGCUAACUCCUUUGGAUGAAUUAGCCUUGCCUGAACAGGCCAAAGGUUACAGCAGCCUGAUGGUAGGUUUACCAACUAAAAGUGACAUUUAUCAAAAGCUGUUUCCCCUCACUUUGCUUUCUGUAUUUUCUUUUUUGGUGUCCUGAUUUUGUUUUCUUGGGAUAUCUUGGGUCAGUUGCACCAACCUCCAGUUCCAGCAUCAGCAAUCACUCAGCUUGACUGACUGUGUUAGUAGGGUGGAUUAAACCAUUUUGUGCCUUUUAAGAAUGGUGAGAGGGGUCUCAGAGAGCAUCCCCUAUUUUUAUUCAGACAUUAUUCAAAGUACAAAGUGCAAAGUAGUUUAGCCACCCCCUCCAAAUCCCCACAGAGGCAGAGUGUUGACCACACGAUGGUUGAACUGGCUGGUUACCCUCACAUCUCAUCUCUCAGGAGACUGGACUCAGGUGGACUUCAAUCUGCACAGAGAGAGAGACACUGUAGAGGGAAAGGCCGACCAGGUGGGAGGAGAGAUCCUAACACACAACAUGACCUGACCAAACCUCUGCAGCCAAGAUCCUUCAGUGUUUCCCUCAGUGUUCUGGACUCUUCAGGAUGCUGGUCUGGUUCAUCUCAAAUGGACUCCAGCCCGUUGCAAGUACCUGUGAGGACUAGGGCUGGGUACCGAACUUUGGUUCUUUUAUGGCACCGACCAAAAUGCUUUGAUACUACCCGGUAUUGAAAAUCUUUGAACGAUACCCAGC